rnacentral:rRNA from 1 species
GACGUAGGGCGCGAGCGUUGUCCGGAUUUAUUGGGCGUAAAGAGCUCGUAGGCGGUUUGUCGCGUCUGCUGUGAAAACUCGGGGCUUAACCCCGGGCCUGCAGUGGGUACGGGCAGACUAGAGUGCGGUAGGGGAGACUGGAAUUCCUGGUGUAGCGGUGAAAUGCGCAGAUAUCAGGAGGAACACCCGUGGCGAAAGCGGCUCUCUGGGACGGUACUGACGCUGAGACGCGAAAGCGUGGGGAGCAAACAGG